GAAGCUGGCCAGGCAGCCGCUGUGUGCGGAACAAACCGGGCAAGGCAACUUGUCCGCGCCGUGCAUGGAGGAAAGUCCGGGCUCCACAGGGAAGGGUGACGGGUAACGCCCGUCCGCCGCGAGGCGAGGAACAGGGCCACAGAGAACGAACCGCCGAUGGCCGGGGGUAACCCCGGAUCAGGCAAGGGUGAAAAGGUGCGGUAAGAGCGCACCGCGUUCGCGGCAACGCGAAUGGCAGGGUAACCUCCACCCGGAGCAACACCGCAUAGGCAAGCGAUGACGCGUCCCGCCGAGCUUGCGGGUAGGUGGCUUGAGCCGGCCAGCGAUGUCCGGCCCAGAGGAAUGGCUGCCCACGACAGAACCCGGCUUAUCGGCCAGCUUCACUU
rnacentral:RNase_P_RNA from 1 species